UUCAACAGAGAUCAAUACACACACCAUCAACAUUACCUUUAUUCAACAUGCUGCCACUGCAGCACUGGGGGUUUUCUCUGAUGUUUCUCUCCAUCCUCACAGGUAUCAGCUGUGAAGAACUCACUCCAGUAGAGAAAAAAGAGAACAGUUUAGAAGACAGCUCUGUGACUCUGUCCUACAGAUACUCC